rnacentral:misc_RNA from 1 species
UGGUUCCGGCAUCGAUGAAGAACGCAGCGAAUUGCGAUAAGUAGUGAGAAUUGCAAACAUGUGAAGCAUCGAAUCUUUGAACGCACAUUGCGCCCCUUGGUAUUCUGAGGGGCAUGCCUGUCCGAGCGUCAUUUCAACCCUCAGGCCCAGCCUGGUAUUGGACUUGGGUCUCGCGGGACCCGUCUGCAACCCGUCGAGCGGUACUGUCCGUCCCCGAGCGUAGCCAGCCUCUACUCGCUCCGGGGAGGCGGCGGUACCCGCCGGUGAAUUGUUCUGCAGUUUGACCUCGGAUCAGGUAGGGCAUACCCGCUGA